UCCAUGACUGGUGCUCAGCAGGUGCCCACAAUGAGUGCUAAAGGGACUGGACCAUCAGCUUUGGAAGGUCGUGGUGGCUAUCCCUCAGGUCUCUCUGAUUCUCCAAAAUUUACAUCUGGUGACUAUGUUCCAUCAUCUNNNUGGAUAUGGCCACAAAAGUGAUCAAUUAUACACAGAGAAGAUUCAUGACUAUCCAGUGAUUGAUAGGCGUCAAUAUGGUGAACGACAGAGCGCUUAUAUUGGGAGGGACAUGCAAAGUGAUCCAGCUGUACGAUAUGCUGAUUCUGUUAGUUUUAGUAAUCAACAUCAGGCUGGGAUGUAUGAACGUAUUGAUCAGGCAUCAAUGCUUCAACAAGAACAGUUACUGAAAUCUCAGUCAUGG
rnacentral:misc_RNA from 1 species